AUAUGAAUUGUACAGCGCUACGGAAUCUGAUGGAGCUAUAUAAAUAAUAAAAUAAUAAUAUUUGGGACAUUUUCACCCCCUACAAGUAUGAAUAUAAAAAUGGUAUUAAACAGCUUAACUUCCUAUUUUAAAGAAAUCAUAUAAACUGAUACUGUUUUAAGUGGAAUUUCAUAUUGGAGACAUGCCUCCUGUUACAGAGCUGUUUUUAUAAUGGUUGACUGAAUAUCGCAGCAAUUAUAGUGCAGGUAUUGUAAGGUUGUCACAAAGCUCUGUAUGUUGAAUAUAUGAAUUGUGACUGCCAGGAAAAUCAUGUCUUGGUUAAAGUAAGCAUUAAAUAUGGAAAUCUGACAUUAAAGAUAAACAGUUAUUACAGAACAAAAGAAUCACCCUGAUUUUUUUUUUUGCACAAUGCCAACCGUUAAAAAAAUGCAAAAUCCCCUUUCGACCCAGGUCUACCCACUUUGUGUUUAACUUCUGAAAAGAAAUGAUAAGACAGAUAGCAAGGAAUGUACAGAAGAAUGUAUCUCAAGGUACUCUCUCAUUCACAUCCAUGGCAAACAGCCAUUUACAGCUCCUAAUUCAAGACAAAAAAUGUAUGAACGAGUAAACAAAAUACAGUGUGAGCUGCCAGUCGCAUGCUAAAGUGGCUAUGCCACCCCAAUAUCAAAAAUGAGUAUUUCAUAAACAUUGAAUCCUUAUGAAAUACUCAGAUUGACUGUGCUGGAAUUUCACUGAAUCGAGAGUACAGAGCUGAAGUCGGCUCCUGGCAGCUGAAGUGCCAGGGGCUGAAGAAAAGCGGAUGGAAGAGGAUGGCAACGCCCUUGUCGGAAAGGUUCAGGUAAGUAAAUCUCCCUUUUCUCUACACUCUAUGGCCACCGGACCCCCAGUGGUGAUGUCAUUAUCGGAUGGCGAGUGCGCUUCAAAAGAAAACUUUCAUAUCAACACCAUUUAAAAAUAUCUUUUCAUCAAGUCUUGAAAGGAAAUAGAUUCUGUGUUAAAUUAAGUAUGUUUAAAAAAAGAAAAACAAAUCCCUGUUUUUAUUACAUGACAGGAUCCUUCAGCCAUAUACAUACACCUUGGGUCAGAUAGUGUUAGAAUGUAACAGUUAGUCAGUCUGAUAAUGUCGCUGUGCUGUGCAGGGAGUGGAGCAGCGAAUACCAUAGAGACUAUAUAGAGGUUUUCAAACACUGUCUGACCCAAGGUGUAUGUAAAUGGCUGACCUGUUCUAUAAUAAAGGUAGGGAUGAGUUUUUUUUUAUAGCAGAUUGUAGAGAAUUAUAGAAGAUUAACAACAGAACGUUGCCAUGUUAUGCAAAAGUCAGUCCCUUGAAAUUGUAGAGAAACAUUGUAAAUUCUACUUCAAGUCAAAAAUAAACAAAAUCUAUGUGACAAUAUCCGCACUUCAUCUUCAAGAAAUGAAAGAUUGAACAAUCAAAAUGUAUUUUGCUUCCAAAAAUACAUUUCCAUAUAAUUAACAAAAAUAUUCUCAUAUUAAAUACACAAAGAACAUUUACAAA